AAAAAAAAAAAGCGCAGUGGAAAAUAAAUAUCCAGAAAAGGAAAUGCAUCAAUUUAUUCUGAAAGAUGGAGGGAGCAGCAGGAAAGGGAUCAAGAGCUGGAAUGACUUCAUGUGAUGCAAGGUACAAGCAGUGCUGCUCACGGAACGGGUCUCAAGCAACCGGGCCCCAGAGUUAGAAAAGGACCUUGACUCUAUGCCUAGUUAUUGGAGGAAAACACACGGAGACAUGCACUUAGCAGGAAGCAGUACUCAGCCUCUGCCUUUGACGGCCCAGGCAGGAUCGCGUGCCAUCUUUGACACGCUGCUCCCUCAGAGCCUGGGAAAGCAGUAAGAAAUAUGAGAUGUCCUGCAAGAAUGUGGAAGACAUCAUCUGUCUUGGAGCUUGGGUACUUGAGGCACAGCUCUUAAGCUCUUGGAGACAUUCCUGCUGGAGUAGGGUGUGAUGAAAACAGUGGACUUCUAGUUCUGAAGAAGGCUUUUAUGUAGCUUCUGCCUGUUCCAGAAGAGGCUUCAGAAUGUGAUGUCCUUGCACAGAGACAAGGCCAAAGGAGGUGUUGAAGGUUACCUCAGAGGACUCUGUCCUCCUCACCUUUCCAAACAGAAGUUUGAGAUUCCUACCUCUUUUCUCCUGAGGUACCUGUUUCUCUAGCAGUGAAUGCGCUGCAGCAUCUGCAAAAUUUUCCUUGCAGGGUUAGAAAUAUGAAAUCUGUGCCCUCAAAGAGAAGGAUAUUCUCUGCUUUCCUGUGAGAAGCUCCACAGGCGUCUUGGUUUGGACCUUGCAGAACCUGCCAGGUGCUGUGAUAAUGGACUUUGAAAGUUUUGGCAUUGUUAAACUAGAAGUUAUUUGAGGUCAUUUCAGAAGCUCUAAUGGCUCCCUGUGACUGCACAGCUAGUCUGAUAAUAACAGAAGCGCAGGCUUUGCAGGUGAAGGAAUAUGAAAAACAAUGUUCAUAAAAUGAGACUAUUCCUCAGGCUUUUCUUCCCAAGCCUCAGAUUCUGGCUUAAGAAAAGGGCAUGGAAAAGUAAAGUUGGGGUUUGUAAGUCAUGUACUCCAAAGAGAGGCUAUACCUAUAUGAUGGUUACUUCUUCCCUUAUGUAUAUUUGGUGACACAGUUUCCAAUUACAUUCCACACAAAGUUUUGUUUAUGUGUGUGUAUGUACAUCUUCCCCACUUGCUUGCACUGUCUCUGCACCUUUGGCCUGUUACAACUUUGGUGUGCAUGCUAGUGAAAAUGAAAGGUAUGAAUCAAUAAGGCAAGGUCCUUAAAAAGUCUCAUGUUAAAAGUGAGAGCUAUAAUACUUGAAUCUGUUACAAGGCUCUUCCAUGAAGCUGCUAGAGUCACUCAAGCCUGGUGCCCCCUCCUCUGGUCUUUUUCAUAAACUCAUGGAUGUCUCAGAUUGGAUACUGGUUGAUUUUGACCUUAGGUUGAUUUUGACCUUAAUCUCACUGUGCCCAUUUCCUGUCUGAUCCCUCUACAACAGGGAAAAAUGCAGAAGUUCACUGAUGCCUACCAAGCACCAGGAGAUUAGUGAAGAGCACCACGAAGAAAUGAAUCACUCCGUGCCUGAGCAGAGUUUGGCUGGGAUCCCAGCAAUAUGGCACAAGGCCAUGCUGAAUGAGAAAUGUAAAGGGGAAAUACUGAGUUACCCAUUCACUGAGCACCAUCCGGAGUGCAUCCUAGAUGCACGAUACACAGGAAGCCUUAAUUAUUCUGGAUUCCUGCGUGCUUGCCUCAGCUACCCAACCCUCUCAGAAUGCUGGGUGCAUCUCAGUUCUACAUCCCUUUGCCUUGGUCUGCCAAAUAUGUUAAGGGACGUGAGAUCCAUAACCUCUGGGUCAGGUUGUUGAGACUUAACUUGUAUGACACAACAGAGAAGGAAGAAUUCUCACUGGUGCCAAAUCCAGCGAGUACUUUGGCUCUGAGUUUUCAUCAAUAUUUUCCAUCAAUUUUUAUUUUUAUACCAAAAGCAACAACUUUUGUUGGGCUUUUAUUGAUUUCCUGUCUGUCAAACCACUUUUUCAAAUUUCUAAAGGGAAAAGAAACAAAAGAUACAGAAAUAGGAAAGAAACUGUAAUAUAUUCCCUCUUCCCACUUUUUUUUUCUUUUUUUCUUUUUUUUUUUUUUUUUUCCCCUCCUAAGUACUCCUGGUAUUACCAGCUGUUACCCUGGUUAUUGUCAGCUGUUUAAAACCUCUGUGUGCAGAGUUAUUUCCUCCUUUCUGAAGUCUGUAGUCAAAAGAAGAAGCAAUCCUGUCACACGUCAAAGAUGAUCUUCUGGCACGCCCCUGGUGAGGUCAGAACUCAGAUUUCACCUGAAUGGUGAAGGGGCAGUGGGCUUAGAGAUGCUUGCCUCAUACAGAUUACCAGUGAGUCCUGUGAAAACUUCUCGGGCAGGUUUUUGAAACAAAUAAAAGAGAAUGACCUUAUAUUGCUCCCUGCUGAGAAGAAGAAAACUGCACAGUGGGCUCACCUGUUGUCUCACUCUAGUGUGUGAGAGCAGACAUGCUUUAACCAUGGGGAAAGAUAUUUUGAGGAACUCCUGCCUCAUCAGAUACCAAAAAGUAUUUUCGGUUGUGUUUUAAUGUGCAGAUUCUCUGGGCUUCAAUGAGCAAAUUCUACCUGCUUUUCCUGCAGAUAGCAUGCCUCAGACUUCUCCCGUUUCCCACUCUGAUUCAGCAAUAUACCCCUAAGUCACGAGACACAAAUCCAUCAGAAGCCAGCCACUGCUAGUUUUGGAGAUCAUAGACUGAUGCAUGCGAAUCCCAUUGUUUACAACUAAAACUUGUGCUCACCAUGAUUACUGUUUUCAGACCAGGAAGUUUUCU